UGGGGAAUAUUGCACAAUGGGCGCAAGCCUGAUGCAGCCAUGCCGCGUGUAUGAAGAAGGCCUUCGGGUUGUAAAGUACUUUCAGCGGGGAGGAAGGCGAUAAGGUUAAUAACCUUGUCGAUUGACGUUACCCGCAGAAGAAGCACCGGCUAACUCCGUGCCAGCAGCCGCGGUAAUACGGAGGGUGCAAGCGGUAAUAGGAAUUACUGGGCGUAAAGCGCACGCAGGCGGUCUGUCAAGUCGGAUGUGAAAUCCCCGGGCUCAACCUGGGAACUGCAUUCGAAACUGGCAGGCUAGAGUCUUGUAGAGGGGGGUAGAAUUCCAGGUGUAGCGGUGAAAUGCGUAGAGAUCUGGAGGAAUACCGGUGGCGAAGGCGGCCCCCUGGACAAAGACUGACGCUCAGGUGCGAAAGCGUGGGGAGCAAACA
rnacentral:rRNA from 1 species